UACGAAGGGGGCUAGCGUUGCUCGGAAUCACUGGGCGUAAGGCGCACGUAGGCGGAUUGUUAAGUCAGGGGUGAAAUCCUGGAGCUCAACUCCAGAACUGCCUUUGAUACUGGCGAUCUUGAGUCCGGGGAGAGGUGAGUGGAACUGCGAGUGUAGAGGUGAAAUUCGUAGAUAUUCGCAAGAACACCAGUGGCGAAGGCGGCUCACUGGCCCGGCUACUGGACGCUGAGGUGCGAAAGCGUGGGGAGCAAACA
rnacentral:rRNA from 1 species